GAAAUAGUCAUUCUUCCAAAUAAAUCUGAGGGAAUGCUUUUCUACCUGUUAGAACCUUGAUCUUGAAGUAUGCUGAGGUUUGCAUUUCAGUCUGAGUACUUUAAUUGUUUUGGCUCAGCACCAUGCUGAAUUGCAACCGUGGCCUUUAACUGCUAAGAGGAGAUCACUCUAGCAAACAGAACAACAUAUCCAUAGCAACAGCAUUAGUCCUGAGUUUUUAAAACACAAAAUGGAAAGAAAAAAAAAAAGAAAAUUCUCCACUGAAAUACAUACUCAAGUCAUGACUUAAGAGUUGGACCAACACUGUCUAGUUAUUCUUGAGCAAUUUUGUGUUGAAAUGCUGUUAAUUAGAAGCAGGUAUCCUUUUCAGAGGUAAGUGCACCACUGAACAUAUUGUACUUCAACAUCUAUAGAAGUAAGAAACAAAAAAUCUGCAAUGUGC
rnacentral:lncRNA from 1 species